rnacentral:rRNA from 1 species
GUAAAGGCAUAAGGGAGCUUGACUGCGAGACCUACAAGUCGAGCAGGGUCGAAAGACGGACUUAGUGAUCCGGUGGUUCCGCAUGGAAGGGCCAUCGCUCAACGGAUAAAAGCUACCCCGGGGAUAACAGGCUUAUCUCCCCCAAGAGUUCACAUCGACGGGGAGGUUUGGCACCUCGAUGUCGGCUCAUCGCAUCCUGGGGCUGUAGUCGGUCCCAAGGGUUGGGCUGUUCGCCCAUUAAAGCGGUACGCGAGCUGGGUUCAGAACGUCGUGAGACAGUUCGGUCCCUAUCCGUCGUGGGCGUAGGAAAUUUGAGAGGAGCUGUCCUUAGUACGAGAGGACCGGGAUGGACAUACCUCUGGUGUACCAGUUGUCGUGCCAACGGCAUAGCUGGGUAGCUAUGUAUGGACGGGAUAAGUGCUGAAAGCAUCUAAGCAUGAAGCCCCCCUCAAGAUGAGAUUUCCCAACUUCGGUUAUAAGAUCCCUCGAAGAUGACGAGGUUAAUAGGUUCGAGGUGGAAGCGUGGCGACACGUGGAGCUGACGAAUACUAAUCGAUCGAAGACUUAAUCAAUUU